CGCCAGCAUCCUAGCCGAAGCGCGGACCUCAGUCCCGGCUGGCCGUAUUACACCCUGGGCUAUAACACCUCCACCGAAGUGGAGGCCACAUUCCCAGAGCCUUUAUCCGGCCGCCGAAACUGAUGCUGGCCUGUCCAAACUGAGUAAACCGGUCAGAAGACCGGCCGAACAGUUUAAACAAGUCUGAUUGCAAGCGCUUCCCUUUCAACAAUUUCACGUGCUUUUUAACUCUCUUUCCAAAGUGCUUUUCAUCUUUCGAUCACUCUACUUGUGCGCUAUCGGUCUCUCGCCAAUAUUUAGCUUUAGAAGAAAUUUACCUCCCAUUUAGAGCUGCAUUCCCAAACAACUCGACUCGUCGAAGGAGAUUUACAUAGGGUGCCAUUUCCUGUCACAUACGGGAUUCUCACCCUCUAUGACGUCCUGUUCCAAGGAACUUAGACAGGCGGCUUCCCCAAAUCAUCCUCUACAAAUUACAAUGCGAACCCGAAGGCUAGCUUUCAAAUUUGAGCUGUUGCCGCUUCACUCGCCGUUACUAGGGCAAU
rnacentral:rRNA from 1 species